rnacentral:rRNA from 1 species
GGGGAAUUUUGGACAAUGGGGGCAACCCUGAUCCAGCCAUGCCGCGUGAGUGAAGAAGGCCUUCGGGUUGUAAAGCUCUUUCAGACGGAAAGAAAUCGGGCGGGCCAAUACCCCGCCUGGAUGACGGUACUGUCAGAAGAAGCACCGGCUAACUACGUGCCAGCAGCCGCGGUAAUACGUAGGGUGCGAGCGUUAAUCGGAAUUACUGGGCGUAAAGCGUGCGCAGGCGGUUGUGUAAGACAGGUGUGAAAUCCCCGGGCUUAACCUGGGAACGGCGCUUGUGACUGCACGGCUAGAGUACGGCAGAGGGGGGUGGAAUUCCACGUGUAGCAGUGAAAUGCGUAGAUAUGUGGAGGAACACCGAUGGCGAAGGCAGCCCCCUGGGCCAGUACUGACGCUCAUGCACGAAAGCGUGGGGAGCAAAC